rnacentral:tRNA from 1 species
GGGCCUGUAGCUCAUCGGUCAGAGCAAUUGCCUUAUAAGCAAUGGGUAGAUGGUUCGAUUCCAUCCAGGCCCA